UUUUUAUCCUGGAAAACCUAAGCUACAACGCUCCUAGCACUUGUGGGAGGUAGCAAAUAAGGUUUUAAGGAUAGUGUGGAUAAUACACG